rnacentral:rRNA from 1 species
GCAAGUCGAGUGCGCGGUUGUAGCAAUACAACUGGCGCACGGCGCACGGGUGCGUAACACGUGGGCAAUCUGCCCUUCGAUGGGGAAUAACUCCGGGAAACCGAAGCUAAUUCCGCAUAACAUUCCCUGGACUCCGGUUCGGGGAAUCAAAGCAGUGAUGCGUCGGAGGAGGAGCCCGCGCCCGAUUAGCUAGUUGGUAGGGUAACGGCCUACCAAGGCUAUGAUCGGUAGCUGGUCUGAGAGGAUGGCCAGCCACACUGGAACUGAGACACGGUCCAGACUCCUACGGGAGGCAGCAGUGGGGAAUCUUGCGCAAUGGGCGAAAGCCUGACGCAGCGACGCCGCGUGGGGGAUGAAGCUUCUCGGAGUGUAAACCCCUUUCGACUGGGACGAAUGCCUCGCAAGAGGAGUGACGGUACCAGUAGAAGAAGCCCCGGCUAACUACGUGCCAGCAGCCGCGGUAAGACGUAGGGGGCCAGCGUUGUUCGGAAUUACUGGGUGUAAAGGGUUCGUAGGCGGUGUGGCAAGUCGGGAGUGAAAUUUCUGGGCUUAACCCAGAAGCUGCUUCCGAAACUGCUGUGCUCGAGUGUGGGAGAGGCGCGUGGAAUUGCAGGUGUAGCGGUGAAAUGC